rnacentral:rRNA from 1 species
AGCAUGUGGUUUAAGUUCGAAGAUACACGAAGAACCUUACCUGGCCUUGACAUGGUAGGAACCCUGUAGAGAUACGGGGGUGCUAGCUUGCUAGAGCCUACACACAGGUGCUGCACGGCUGUCGUCAGCUCGUGUCGUGAGAUGUUGGGUUAAGUCCCGCAACGAGCGCAACCCUCGUCCUUAGUUGCUAACGGUUCGGCCGAGCACUCUAGGGAGACUGGCCUUCGCAAGGAGGAGGAAGGUGAGGACGACGUCAAGUCAUCAUGGCCCUUACGGCCAGGGCUACACACGUGCUACAAUGGGGCGUACAGAGAGCUGCGAUACCGCGAGGUGGAGCCAAUCUCUUAAAGCGUCUCUCAGUUCGGAUUGUUCUCUGCAACUCGAGAACAUGAAGCUGGAAUCACUAGUAAUCGCAGAUCAGCUAUGCUGCGGUGAGUACGUUCCCGGGUCUU